UACGAAGGGGGCUAGCGUUGCUCGGAAUCACUGGGCGUAAAGCGCACGUAGGCGGACUUUUAAGUCAGGGGUGAAAUCCCAAGGCUCAACCUUGGAACUGCCCUUGAUACUGGAAGUCUUGAGUUCGGGAGAGGUGAGUGGAACUGCGAGUGUAGAGGUGAAAUUCGUAGAUAUUCGCAAGAACACCAGUGGCGAAGGCGGCUCACUGGCCCGAUACUGACGCUGGAGGGUGCGAAAGCGUGGGGAGCAAACAGGAAUUAGAAACCCUGG
rnacentral:rRNA from 1 species